rnacentral:rRNA from 1 species
AGGGGCAUGUGCACGCUUCACUAGUCUUUCAACCACCUGUGAACUUUUGAUAGAUCUGUGAAGUCGUCUUUCAAGUCGUCAGACUUGGUUUGCUGGGAUUUAAACGUCUCGGUGUGACAACACAGUCUAUUUACUUAACACACCCCAAAUGUAUGUCUACGAAUGUCAUUUAAUGGGCCUUGUGCCUAUAAACCAUAAUACAACUUUCAACAACGGAUCUCUUGGCUCUCGCAUCGAUGAAGAACGCAGCGAAAUGCGAUAAGUAAUGUGAAUUGCAGAAUUCAGUGAAUCAUCGAAUCUUUGAACGCACCUUGCGCCCCUUGGUAUUCCGAGGGGCAUGCCUGUUUGAGUGUCAUUAAAUUCUCAAACUCACUUUGUUUAAUUGUGAUGUUUGGAUUGUUGGGGGCUGCUGGCCUUACAGGUCGGCUCCUCUUAAAUGCAUUAGCAGGACUUCUCAUUGCCUCUGCGCAUGAUGUGAUAAUUAUCACUCAUCAAUAGCACGCAUGAAUAGAGUCCAGCUCUCCAAUCGUCCGCAAGGACAAUUUGACAAUUUGACCUCAAAUCAGGUAGGACUACCCGCUGAACUUAA